CCAGGCACGGUUAGAAAUGGUUCGUCAAUUGAUAAAAUUAAACUGGGCCACUCCAGCAGAAAGGGGCCCUGGACAUCCCCUAGCGUAGAAACCAAAAGACAGCGGCUGAAAGGGCUCAAAUUGUCAAAUUUUAAGUACUGACUUGGUAAGACGAUCACGUUUGCUUUUUCAAUUGUAUAUGUCUACAGACAAAAUUGAAAAACAAAUAUAAAUACCAAAGCCAAAUAUAAAUUAAAAGCAAAUAUAAAACAGCCCUACUAUCCACAGUGGAUUGUCUCUGGUGAUUGGAAUGGCAAUAGUGGGAAGAGGAUUUUCGUUUUCUCUGUAUUGCUCAAAUUAUUCAUUACUCAUAUAUAUAAGCUCCUCCGUCCAUGGGAUUCUCCAAGCAAGAGUACUGGAGUGGGUUACCAUCUCCUUCGCCAGGGAAUCUUUCUGACCCAAGGAUCGAACCCAAGUCUCCCGCAUUGCAGGCAGACGCUUUAACCUCUGAGCCACCAGGGAAGCCCUUGAUAAAAAGGUCAUUUAAACAUUUUUUGAAGUUCCUUUUAACAAUAAAGACGAAACCAAGGAAGCAGACUAUAGCAAGAACAUAGUCAAGAUGAGGAAAUUGAGGCCCAGAGAGAUCAAGAGACAGAACGCCCGCGGCAUGCAGCUGGUCGUGGCUGGGCUGACACUGGAAUCCAGGGGUUCCGCAAGGUGCCUCGCAGCUGCCCAGCCGGGAACUAGACCGCUCCGCUCCCUGCCCUCCCCACCCC
rnacentral:lncRNA from 1 species